rnacentral:rRNA from 1 species
AUGAACGCUGGCGGCGUGCCUUAUGCAUGCAAGUCGAACGAUCCCCGCAAGGGGGCAGUGGCGGACGGGUGAGUACAAGCAAGGAACGUACCUCAAACUUCAGCAUAGCUCGUCGAAAGACGGGGUAAUGCGGGAUGUGGACGCAAGUCUAAAGGGCAUAACAACCCGGUUUGAGAGCGGCCUUGUGACUAUCAGCUUGUUGGCAGGGUAAAAGCCUACCAAGGCUAUGACGGUUAGGGGGCGUGAGAGCGCGACCCCCCACAAUGGCACUGAGACACGGGCCAUACAACUACGGGUGGCAGCAACAGGGAAUCGUUGGCAAUGGACGAAAGUCUGACCACGCGACGCCGCGUGAGGGAUGAAGGCUCUCGGGUCGUAAACCUCUUUUACUUCGCCGUCGAGGCGGAGAGAAUAAGCACCUACAAACUACGU